GAUGAACGCUGGCGGCGUGCCUAAUACAUGCAAGUCGAGCGAAUGGAUUAAGAGCUUGCUCUUAUGAAGUUAGCGGCGGACGGGUGAGUAACACGUGGGUAACCUGCCCAUAAGACUGGAUAACUCCGGGAAACAGGGGCUAAUACCGGAUAACAUUUUGAACCGCAUGGUUCGAAAUUGAAAGGCGGCUUCGGCUGUCACUUAUGGAUGGACCCGCGUCGCAUUAGGUAGUUGGUGAGGUAACGGCUCACCAAGGCAACGAUGCGUAGCCGACCUGAGAGGGUGAUCGGCCACGCUGGGACUGAGACACGGCCCAGACUCCUACGGGAGGUAGCAGUAGGGAAUCUUCCGCAAUGGACGAAAGUCUGACGGAGCAACGCCGCGUGAGUGAUGAAGGCUUUCGGGUCGUAAAACUCUGUUGUUAGGGAAGAACAAGUGCUAGUUGAAUAAGCUGGCACCUUGACGGUACCUAACCAGAAAGCCACGGCUAACUACGUGCCAGCCGCCGCCGUAA
rnacentral:rRNA from 1 species